GACGAACGCUGGCGGCGUGCUUAACACAUGCAAGUCGAACGGAAAGGCCCUGCUUUUGUGGGGUGCUCGAGUGGCGAACGGGUGAGUAACACGUGAGUAACCUGCCCUUGACUUUGGGAUAACUUCAGGAAACUGGGUCUAAUACCGGAUAGGAGCUCCUGCUGCUUGGUGGGGGUUGGAAAGUUUGGGCGGUUGGGGAUGGAAUCGCGGCCUAUCAGCUUGUUGGUGGGGUAGUGGCUUACCAAGGCUUUGACGGGUAGCCGGCCUGAGAGGGUGAGCGGACAAACUGGGACGGGGAUGAGGCCCAGACCAGUACGGGAGGGAGCGGUGGAGAAUAUAGCACAAGGGGCGGAAGCCUGGUGCAGCCACGCCGCGUGGGGGAUGACGGCAUUCGGGUUGUAAACCACUUUCGCCUGUGACGAGACGUGAGUGACAGUAAUGGGUAAAGAAGCACCGGCUAACUACGUG
rnacentral:rRNA from 1 species